UCAAACAAAUUCACAGAGUGGGAUUGGAUUAGAUUGACUUCUCUUUGACAGAAAAUUUUAAAAGGCAUCAUAGAAACCGUUUCAAAUUUUCUUACCCCGCGCCGAGGGCAUGUGUAACGAUUCCGAGAGAGCGGAAUCGGUGUGUUUAUCAUUACCGCAAUACGUACCCUGACCAGUUUAUCCGACUGCUCCUAGCACCUUUAUCGGAGACAGAGACGGAGAGAUCAGCGGGUGAUGAUGAACCAAAUUUUGACCCUCACGAACCUAUCCCAUCCCUUGUUAGUCCUUAUUACCGUCGACUCAGCCAUGCUGACCUGCGGUAUCGGUCACCCUAUCCCACCCAAUACAGCUCGCCGUAGUGGUUUGGCUCUCCGCGGACCUGACCCCUCGUUGACAGUAGGUUGGCAACAAUAUUCGCCCGCUGUCAAAUCGGCCACGGCCGCUUCGCCCGCCUCGGCGGCGAAGGGACCGUUCCAGCUAAGGCCAAGGAACCGUUUCUUUCUUCUUGUGUGAGCUCUUGCCCGCGAGUGCCUGAACGUGUCUGGGGGACACCGGAGGACAGGGAGGCUUCAAAUCCGCCGUUGACCGCAACCCGUUACAACAGCCCACCGGAAGUGAUCGUGGUCGGCCGCCGCGGAUAAUCGCCAAGGAGCCAGCGGUGAACCACGAGCCAGAGGCAGCAUCCUGUCCGGACAAAUCCUGCGCCGCCGGGAGUUGUCGGAGGAGGUGAGUCUGAUCCUUGUUGUGAUCCGAGUCCGCGUCUUCGCUAAACGUGCGAAGAGCGACUGGAUUUGCCCAGUAGGGGGGCGUAUUGUGCGAACGUAUUCCAUCGUUUUCUCUCUCUUUGUUUCGUUGCAGACCCACCCUAACCUCAUAGCUCUACCGACGCCACGAGUCUGCCCGGUCAAAGAGAGGGCAUCGCACGAACGCAUGUGCAUGUAGUAUUAAUUUUAAGAUUAUUGAACUUUCUGUUCCCAAUAAAAGACCCGGAAGCUCCCGGGGUU